CAGUCCUGGCGACUGAGCGGCACAAAUAACUUUUGAAGUGGUGAGUGACUGAGUGGAGCGAGAAGGCAAGCAAUAGUUUUCAGCCAAACCAAUGCCAAACAAAGGAAUAUACCUUCACGCAUUUGGGUAGGCUUUAGCACAGCGUUGGAAGUAAUCAUCUUGAAAAGACGACCCAGGUUCUUCGAUUCGGUUACCUGGUUAAGUAACAAAAUUAUUGGAAUCUUGCUUCCCCUGGAUGCCAUUAAAAUCAACUUACUCAGAGAGAUCAUGGCACAUACCUGGGACUGGAACCGAACCACCCUGGGCUAGAGGCAAAGAUAGUAGCAUUGUACCGCAAGAACUGUCCAGCAGCUCAGUUACCAGCACAGUGACAUUACCAACACGUCACUGCCUCUCUCUUUGGCUGUCAUUCAUUUCUAUUCUCGUGAUAAAUUCAACUGGAAAUUAUUGCACAGAGUUCUAACACAAUGUUGAAUUCAAUGGCGUGAGCUAAAUUAAGUAAAUGUAACUGAUUCAGUGUUCUUAAUUCACCCACCCAACCUUUCCUCAUCGAAUAUUUUUGAAUCUUUCAGCUGUUACCUUCUUCAGUUUUCAGCCUCCUUCUAUUUUCAUGUCCUAAUCAGCCACUAGGAGGUAUAGGAGAACAUCACCAUUGACUCACUUUUGGAGCACCCCCUAUUUUCAGGGCCUACUGGGAAUGGUUGCAACAGCAACAAUUAGUUGCAUUUAUAUAGUGCCUAUCUUGUAGUAGAAUUUCCAAAGGCAUUUUACAGGUCCAAUCAUUCAAUACAAUUGGACACUAACCCACACAAAGCAAUAUGAGGACAAGUGACCAAUAGCUUCAUCCAAGAAGCAGGUUUGAAGGUGAGUCUUUGAGGAAGAGAGAGAGAGAGGUGAAGUGUUUUAAAGAUGCAAUUUUGGAACUGAAAGCCGUGUAACUAUAGGUCCAGCCAUUAAUGGCAGAGCCAAGAAAAUUAGGGGUGCUUGAGAGGCCAGCCUGCAAGAAUACAGAGGCGAGGCUACGGGUGGAACUUUCUAUGGGAAAAGAGGAGGCUAAAGAAAUGCACAGCACCUUUGUGAGUUUAGGACAAUGAUAAGAAACAGGCAAAAUUGAACAAGCUACCAACAUUGCACUUCGCCUGAUCUCCCUUUCUAGUGAAGUCAAUGGGAAAGAAAUGCAAGCUGAUGUAAAAUAGACAGCUCCUCAACAUUUUCAUUUCUCAUUGAUUAAAUGUGGUCAUUGCCAACAAGUACUGAAUUUAUUCUCUGUCCCAAAGAAUAUGUGGUGAGCUGCCAUUUUGAAAUGCUGCAGUCUGUGAGAUGAAUUCCCACAGUGUUGUUAGCUGAGUAAAUUUGGCAUAGCAAUGAUAAAGGAACGGUGAUAGAGUUUCAAGUUACGAUGGUGCGUAACUUGGAGUGGUAUUUGCUGGUGGUAGUAUUCCCAUGCAGCCUUUGUCACUUUAGAUAGUAGACACCAUGGAUUGUGAGAUUCUCUUAAAGAAGCCUUGUUUAUUCCCUAUCACAAAGCAAAUUAAAAUGUCCCCAUUCUUUGAAUAGUCACAAAACACACGAUGUAGGAGCAGGAGUAGGCCAUUUGCCCUUGACCCUCCUCCACUAUUUGAAAAGAGCAUGCCUGAUCCAGUUUGACUUGAAUUCCCCUUUCCUUGAUUCCCUGGCAGAUCAAAAUUCUAACUUUAACCUGAAUAUAUUCCAUGUCCUGUCUUCAUUACUCUCAGGAGUAGGGAAUUCAAAGAUUAACAACUUUUUGAGAACAGGAAUACCUUCUCAUUGCUUUCUUAGUCCUUUAUUUUAUAAUUGUAACACUUAGUUCCAGUUUCCCUGGAAAGGGAAAAUAUUUUUUCAGUAUUUACUCUGUCACUUUUCUUUAGAGUUUUAUGUGUUUCAGCCGGUUUGCCACUCAUUCUUCUAAACUCCAAUGAAUAUAGUGUCAACCUGCUGAACAUUUCCUUAUAUGUCAGCCCCUUCUUUCCAAGAGUCCUACUGAAUCAUGUCCGAUUUGCCUCCAAUACAAGUAUUUCCCUCUUAAUGAAGGUGACCAAAAUGGUAACAGUACUCUCAGUGUGGUCUGACCAAAAGACUUGUACAAUUCUAGCAAGACUUAUCUACUUUUAUACUCUGUUCUUAUUGCCAUGAUGUUGAGGUGCUGGUGUUGGACUGGGGUGGACAAAGUCAAAGGUCACAUGACACCAGGUCAUAGUCCAACAGGUUUAGUUGAAAUCACAAGCUUUCAAAAUCACCUGACAAAGGGGCAGUGCUCUUAAAGCUUGUGAUUCUCAUUGUAAUAAAGGUUUAUCGCAGGGGAUCUCUCUCAAUUGCUGUGUGCUUACUGCAGUAGGAAGCUGCUGGGCUGGUCAGAGAUACUCCUUAACAAAAAAAAUUGUAAAUCAGUAAAUGUUUUAACUUCAACCAGAAAUCAUGAAAUGUUUCAGUAUAUAUUUAUCAAUGAGCCCUGCUGCAAUUUACUAAUUUGAAGAUAAUUGUCUGUCAAAAAUAUGUAAGAGCACUUUCUGUGAAUUGUUUUGAAAUGCGAUCAUUAUUGUUUUGUAGAAAGAGAAAACACUUGGUUCAAUCCCCAGCCAAGUUUAUAUUAAUUGACAUUCGAGGUUUUAGAUGAUGAAAUUCAGCCCAGGUUCUAGCUCCAAAUGCAGUGACUCUGUUGCAAAGUGUGCACGUGUAGAUUUCAAAAUGGAUAGGAUUGAGUUUGGCUGUGAUCUGUCUCCUAGGAGAAUAGAAAUGGAUGCGUAUUGAUUAAGUUCACAGUGAACACUUAGAAAUCUGUUGGUACCUGUGGGGCCGUAUGCCACCUGGGUCAGCAGUUUCAAUCAAAGGAGAUAGUCUCGUGGUAGGGCAGGAACAGCUUAUUGAGUUUAAGUGCAUGCAAUCAAAGUUAAAUAACCUGUUUAAGUAUUAAAUGCAUGGAAUAGAGAAUAGGUAGCCAGUUUACCGUGUUCAGAUGCAUGAAAUAGAGACUUAUUAAUGAGAAAUUGGGAUAAACAUAAGAGUAGUUGUUCAACAAAUAUAAAAGUAACAACAACUAAUGACUUGAAUGAAUAUAUUGAAAUCUACACCCUAACAUUUUCUGAAGAGGCUACAGCUAGAAUUACAAAAAAUAAUAAGGAGGAAUAGAACUAGAUUAAUAUGGAUAUAACACUUCAGGAAGCUAUGCUAAUAGUCAACAAUCUCAGUCAAAGCAAGCAGACAUAAAAUAACUACUAUAUGGGGCAAAGAACUAAAACAGGAAUCAACAGUCCACAAAGUAUUUUGAAAACAAAGAUAUCUGGUUUACAUGUCGUGAUUAAGGUAAACAGGGUAAUGCUUAGCAUUAGCUGCAGCAAAUCUAAAGAAUUGCUAUUUACAGGACUGAAUUGGAGUACUGUAUGUAGUGUUGCUUAUCAUUUUAUAGGAAGGAUAUGAGUACCCUUGAUAGGUUGGAAGAUGAUGUGAAGAAAUUAAGUUAUGGAGAUAGGUUAACAGAGUCUGACUUGUUUACACAGGAAAAGGGAAACCUUCUCAUAGAAUUGAAUGCAAAAAUGUUCUGAAAUUUUUGUGAGUGCUAUUGGAGUUGACAGCAACAAAAAAAAAGAAAAUUCACUGGGGCUUCUGUAGACUAAAAUGAAAUUGAAAAAUAAAAAGAGCUCUAACUUAACUAUUUCAUACAAUAUAUAGAUUUGAAUUAUAUUAUCACUGAAGAAAUGCCAUAAAAGGUCUUCUGAGACAACUAGUUCAUGCUUGAAUUUCAAAAUAUGGCAGUUUAGAGCAACCAAAAGAGGAAGGCAUCAUGGGCUAGUUUGCCACUUCCUGUUUCUAACCAUUCCGAGGUUUCAAAUUGUGAAUUAACAAAAUGAAAGCUUGCAUGUUUUGCUCUGUUAAUUAAUGGCAUUGAUUAUAUAGAAAGUUAAAAAUGUAGCACUCUUUUUCUUGCAUAAAAUCAGCAUCAAAACAUGUCUUUGUUACAAAAUAAUACAUAGUUCAUUCUUCCAAGUACAGUGAUGUUUGUUUUGCAUCGUAUUAAUAAUACCUUAAAUGUAAAAUCACUUAUAAAAGUUUAUUGUAUUUGUGUGAUGAUGUUGCUCCUUUAACAAAGUUAUGUUGUCCUUGGCGUUUUCCAGAAGGGGUUGGAAAAAGGCAGAGGUUUCGAUUUGUCUGGGAUUAGGCCACUUUGAAUAUGGCUAACAGAUGCUGCCUAAGGCAACAAUCAGGAAAAGGGCUUUUUUUUAAAAAAAACAAAUGUACAAUGCAACUGGAGUGGCCAGUUCUCCCAGUUCAGGGAUUUUUCUAGUUUGGUUUAGUUUUAAUGGGGGACCCAGAGAAGUUGCUGGAGUGAAAGUGGUUCCAUGCUUUAGCAAAUGAUCCCUAGCUGGUUCUCUCUGCCACCUCUCUAUCCUGUAAGAACCUACGUUUGAAUUGACCUUUUGGCCAAGGGGUGUGUUUAAGGGGAUGUUGCACAAAAACAGAACAGCUCUUUGUUGAGUUGCGGGGGAUAUUGGGUCAAUUGGGUUUUCAAAUCAUUAUUGUUCUAAAUUCUGUUUUCUUUUAUUUGUGUUUCUGUUGGUGGUGUGCAAAUAAAUUCUGUUUUACUUGAAGCCAAGUGGUUUGAUCAGCUGCAUCACUCCUGAGAUAUCACCUUACAGCUGCCUGAAACAAGGAGAAAAGUUAGGGUCCAGGUUAACUUCUUAAAAUGUUUUGAGGGGGUCUGGCCUGGUCCAUAAAAUUUGUUCAAAAUUACCUACAUAUUGUACUAAUGUUUACCUCUGUUACAUGAUUGUAAUAAUGUAGAUGUAAAGAAAAUUCAUGUUAUCUAUUGAGUUAUCCACUAUAUCUUAUUGUUUGAAUAAAUAUUUUACUUUUUAAACUA